rnacentral:rRNA from 1 species
GUGGGGAAUCUUCCGCAAUGGACGAAAGUCUGACGGAGCAACGCCGCGUGAGUGAUGAAGGUUUUCGGACUGUAAAGCUCUGUUGUUUGGGACGAAAGUGCCUGUUGCGAACAGUUACGGGUAUUGACGGUACUAAACGAGGAAGCCACGGCUAACUACGUGCCAGCAGCCGCGGUAAUACGUAGGUGGCAAGCGUUGUCCGGAAUUAUUGGGCGUAAAGAGCAUGUAGGCGGGAAUCUAAGUCUGUUGUUAAAUGCGGGGCUCAACCCCGUAUUGCGAUGGAAACUGGGUUUCUUGAGUGCAGGAGAGGAAAGGGAAUUCCCAGUGUAGCGGUGAAAUGCGUAGAUAUUGGGAGGAACACCAGUGGCGAAGGCGCCUUUCUGGACUGUGUCUGACGCUGAGAUGCGAAAGCCAGGGUAGCGAACGGGAUUAGAUACCCUUGUAGUCC